GCUCCUAUAGCUCAGUUGGUAGAGCGCGACACUAGUAUCUCCUCUUAGGAUUUCAACCGGAUUCCGGGAAAUGUCGAGGUCUACGGUUCAAAUCCGUAUGGGAGCA